GGGGACAUCAGGUAGAGAGACUCAUUCAGACCUGGGGACAUCAGGUAGAGAGACUCAUUCAGACCUGGGGACAUCAGGUAGAGAGACUCAUUCAGACCUGGGGACAUCAGGUAGAGAGACUCAUUCAGACCUGGGGACAUCAGGUAGAGAGACUCAUUCAGACCUGGGGACAUCAGGUAGAGAGACUCAUUCAGACCUGGGGACAUCAGGUAGAGAGACUCAUUCAGACCUGGGGACAUCAGGUAGGAAGAGAAAGCAGAAAUGUUUUGGCCCUCAGGACCUGAAUAAUACUUUGACAUUGAAACACAACAGCUAUACAUAACUAGGUGAAAGCAGACCUGAUGCAACACACACACACAAUAAAACACACACACACACACACACACACACACACACACAAUCAGCACACGCACACACAAUCAGCACACGCACACACACGCACACACACACACAAUAAGCACACACACACACACACACACACACAAUAAACACACACACAAUAAGCACACGCACACGCACACACACAAUAAGCACACUGUGGUAAGACUGUUUUGGGUUGCAUUUUGUCUGCAUUUAGCCAAUCUGUAACAAUCAGAAGAAUAAAAUACACAUCCAAACAUCUUGACCUUUCAACAAACAGCAAGAUGGAAAUGAACCUUGUGAAGGAAACAGCAACAUAAAGUGUUUUAAUAGGAGGUAACUGGCAGAAUAAAGGAAACUCCAGGUCCUCCACCAACCACCAGGUAACUGCCAGAAUAAAGGAAACUCCAACAGUGUUUUAAUAGGACGUCGGGUCCUCCACCAACCAGAACAGCUUUAAUACACCUUGACAUCGAUUCUACAAGUGUCUGGGAAGUCUAUCGGAGGGAUGAGACGCCAUUCUUCCACGAGGAAAUUCCAUCAUUUGGUGUUUUGUUGAUGGUAUUGAAGCCACCUUGCAGCCAUUUUGGCUCUCCUUAAUGAUGUGUAUAAACCCUGGAUGGCUGAC
rnacentral:lncRNA from 1 species